rnacentral:rRNA from 1 species
UACGAAGGGGGCUAGCGUUGUUCGGAAUUACUGGGCGUAAAGCGUGCGCAGGCGGUUUUGUAAGCCAGAUGUGAAAUCCCCGGGCUUAACCUGGGAAUGGCAUUUGGGACUGCAAGGCUUGAGUGCGGCAGAGGAGACUGGAAUUCCUGGUGUAGCAGUGAAAUGCGUAGAUAUCAGGAGGAACACCGAUGGCGAAGGCAGGUCUCUGGGCAUUAACUGACGCUGAGGAGCGAAAGCAUGGGGAGCGAACAGG